GUGCUCACUUUGGCAGCACAUAUACUAAAAUUGGAAUGAAACAGAGAAAAUUAGCAUGGCCUCUGCAUGAGCAUGACAUACAGAAAAAAAAACCCAAAGCUGGGAAUUGAUUCUU
rnacentral:snRNA from 1 species